UACGGGGGGAGCAAGCGUUGUUCGGAUUUACUGGGCGUAAAGGGCGCGUAGGCGGCCUGUGCAAGUCAGUUGUGAAAUCUCCGAGCUUAACUCGGAACGGUCAACUGAUACUGCUCGGCUAGAGUGCGGAAGGGGCAACUGGAAUUCUUGGUGUAGCGGUGAAAUGCGUAGAUAUCGAGAGGAACACCUGCGGCGAAGGCGGGUUGCUGGGCCGACACUGACGCUGAUGCGCGAAAGCCAGGGGAGCGAACGGG
rnacentral:rRNA from 1 species